UUGCACCAGAAAUAACACUCAUUGGUUCAAAUUUCCCCACCACGAGUCACAAACAUAUAGCCCACAGACAACACACAAAUUCGGUAGAUUCCGUCUCCUCUCUCUGUACAAUCCCACACAUUUAAUAUCGAAGACGAAGCUGUGCCAUUGAGAGCAAGGAGAGGGUUCGUGAGACUCGCAUUUUGGUGAAGAUUUGCAAAUAACUAAGGUUUUAAUCCCAAACGGAACGAGGAAAGGGUUAGAUUGCUAUUCAAAUUAGUGAAGCUAUUUCAGUCUAAUUCAAUCUAACACUUUCGGUAUACUUUCCAAUAAGAGGACGAGCUGUUGCAUUUUUGCUUAAUUUAUACCCCUUUCUAUAUUAUCGGAUUCAAAUUGAGCAAUCAGAUAAGUUGUAUUUUGAGAAUGGACCUAACUAAUAUAAUACUGGACUCAAUCAUGAUUCAUGAGUCAUCACAAGGUUGACCUAAAAAAACUCAAGUUCGCUACAGUAAGGGUUUUGUCUUUGUUUUGUUUUUCUAAUAUUCGCUAAUUUAACUAAAUUUUCAUUUACAGACUUUUGGCAUAAUUUUUGGAAUGUAUAACCAAUACUCUCGGUGCUUUAAUAAAUUGAGUGCAGAACUCUAUUUCAGAAUUUCUUCACAUCGGAUCUAAUUUUGAGUUUAAUUAAACAGAUCCUUUGGAACCAUGGAAAGUUUAACUUUAAGUCAGCUUGGAAUCACUGUAGAAUUUGGAAUGAAAGAGUUGACUGGUACAAACUUGCUUGAAACAAUUGCAGACCUAGAGUUUCUGUUGCAGUAGCACUGAUAUUGCAGAAUGCUCAUCCUUCUAUAAUUGAUUUGAAAAGAAAAAAAAAAAAAAGGGAGGGAUUUCCUUGUCUUCAAUUUGUCACAACUGUUUUGGAGCUGAAGAUGGAAGAGACCAUUUAUUUUGGUCUUGUUCUCUGGCCAAAUCAGUUUGGGCCUGGUUUGCUGAUUUCUUACUUUGUGAUGCUCUGCUCCAUCUGCAGAACUUGGAGCAGGCUAGCUUGCAACCUAUUUUCUAAAUAUAAUUUGCCUUGGAUGGUAUGUUUUUAUCGUUCUUGUUAUGUGCCUAAGGGCUGCUUCUCUGUACUUUUGUAUCAAUAAAAUUUUACCACAUUCAGGGUAAAAAAUGAAAGAAAGGACAUUGUAUGUAUGUUAGCUUAAAUGCUUUUGGAAGAUGAUCUUAACCUUGUAAGUAGCCCAUUCUUGAUGUUUGCUUUAUGAGGGGAACAUCUUUGCUGCUUAAGGUAUUUGAAAGAAAAA